UACGAAGGGGACUAGCGUUGCUCGGAAUCACUGGGCGUAAAGGGUGCGUAGGCGGUCGAGUAAGUCUGACGUGAAAUCUCCGGGCCUAACCCGGAAACUGCGUUGGAAACUACUUGGCUAGAGGAAUGGAGGGGAGACUGGAAUACUUGGUGUAGCAGUGAAAUGCGUAGAUAUCAAGUGGAACACCAGUGGCGAAGGCGAGUCUCUGGACAGUUCCUGACGCUGAGGCGCGAAAGCCAGGGGAGCAAACGGG
rnacentral:rRNA from 1 species